rnacentral:tRNA from 1 species
AUGACUGUGGCGAAAUUGGUAUACGCGUUUAGUUUAGGUCUAAAUUAUUAAGGGUUCGAGUCCCUUCAGUCAUA